ensembl:lncRNA
GCACCAUCUGGUCCCCUGGGAGGUCAGUGCAGGGUUGCUCCAUUUUGACAUGAGUAAAUUCUAGAUUAGGUAUUUGGCAGCUAACUCAUCUGGAUAUAAGGAAACAGAAGUGCCAGACACGUAGAUAAUAUUUGAAGAACAGGAGCAUUCUUGGAACAUGCUGAAUAGAGGACAAGGAGAUGAGUAAAGAACUAUGAACAAAUCCAUUAAGUAUUCAAGAUUUAAGCAUUUAGAUAGUAAAUAGAGCAAACAGGGUGACAGAUAUCAGCCACUUGGUGUGUCUAGAGCAGUACUAAUUGACAGCUUGAGGCACAAGGAAGAGAUCGAGAAAAGUCAACCACUCCUUGCUUGAUGAUGCAAAUUGCAUCAAGACCCUUUGCCUUCAAAAAUUCACAUGCUGAAGAUGGCAUUAGCUUCCGAACUAAUAUUUCUGACGCUUCCUCUGAGAUAGUUUUUGAGACCAAAGAUUUUACAGAAUGA